rnacentral:rRNA from 1 species
GAGUUUGAUCCUGGCUCAGGAUGAACGCUAGCGGCAGGCUUAAUACAUGCAAGUUGAACGAAGUUAUUUUUAGCAAUAGAAAUAAUUUAGUGGCGCACGGGUGCGUAACACGUAUGCAACCUACCCUUAACUGGAACAUAACAUGAAGAAAUUCGUGCUAAUAUUUCAUAGUAUUUAGAAUUGGCAUCAAUUUUAAAUUAAAGCUACGGCGGUUAAGGAUGGGCAUGCGUCCCAUUAGCUAGUUGGUAAGGUAAUGGCUUACCAAGGCUACGAUGGGUAGGGGUUCUGAGAGGAAGGUCCCCCACACUGGUACUGAGACACGGACCAGACUCCUACGGGAGGCAGCAGUAAGGAAUAUUGGUCAAUGGACGCAAGUCUGAACCAGCCAUGCCGCGUGCAGGAAGACGGCCCUAUGGGUUGUAAACUGCUUUUGACGGGGAAAAAAGUCCGAUACGAGUUAUCGGUUUGCUAGUACCUGUUGAAUAAGCAUCGGCUAACUCCGUGCCAGCAGCCGCGGUAAUACGUAGGUGGCAAGCGUUGUCCGGAUUUAUUGGGCGUAAAGCGAGCGCAGGCGGUUGAUUAAGUCUGAUGUGAAAGCCCCCGGCUCAACCGGGGAGGGUCAUUGGAAACUGGUCAACUUGAGUGCAGAAGAGGAGAGUGGAAUUCCAUGUGUAGCGGUGAAUGCGUAGAUAUAUGGAGGAACACCAGUGGCGAAGGCGGCUCUCUGGUCUGUAACUGACGCU